CUUCUUCUUCUUCUUCUUCUUCUUUUUUCAGUUACCAACUAGUAAUUGGAUAAAUGCAGGGUCAUGCUUGUUCAAACUUCAAAGGCAUGCAUAGAUGAUCAACUUACAAGGAUUGGUAACAUAAGACAAAGAGGCCAUCCUCAAUUACUCUUCUCUGGCUCUUUGAAACAGGACAGAAGAACCACUGGACUGAAUGUCUG
rnacentral:misc_RNA from 1 species